CGGCGUGCCUAAUACAUGCAAGUCGAACGCACUCUCGUUUAGAUUGAAGGAGCUUGCUCCUGAUUGAUAAACAUUUGAGUGAGUGGCGGACGGGUGAGUAACACGUGGGUAACCUGCCCUAAAGUGGGGGAUAACAUUUGGAAACAGAUGCUAAUACCGCAUAAAACCUAACACCGCAUGGUGUAGGGUUGAAAGAUGGUUUCGGCUAUCACUUUAGGAUGGACCCGCGGUGCAUUAGUUAGUUGGUGAGGUAAAGGCUCACCAAGACCGUGAUGCAUAGCCGACCUGAGAGGGUAAUCGGCCACACUGGGACUGAGACACGGCCCAGACUCCUACGGGAGGCAGCAGUAGGGAAUCUUCCACAAUGGACGAAAGUCUGAUGGAGCAACGCCGCGUGAGUGAAGAAGGUUUUCGGAUCGUAAAACUCUGUUGUUGGAGAAGAAUGUAUCUGAUAGUAACUGAUCAGGUAGUGACGGUAUCCAACCAGAAAGCCACGGCUAACUACGUG
rnacentral:rRNA from 1 species